UUGACCGCGCCAUUUUAGUCUUG
rnacentral:snRNA from 1 species